rnacentral:rRNA from 1 species
CGGGUGAGUAACGCGUGAGGAACCUGCCUCAAAGAGGGGGACAACAGUUGGAACGACUGCUAAUACCGCAUAAGCCCACAGCUCGGCAUCGAGCAGAGGGAAAAGGAGCAAUCCGCUUUGAGAUGGCCUCGCGUCCGAUUAGCUAGUUGGUGAGGUAACGGCCCACCAAGGCGACGAUCGGUAGCCGGACUGAGAGGUUGAACGGCCACAUUGGGACUGAGACACGGCCCAG